rnacentral:rRNA from 1 species
AUUGAACGCUGGCGGCAGGCCUAACACAUGCAAGUCGAGCGAGCGGCGGACGGGUGAGUAAUGUCUGGGAAACUGCCCGAUGGAGGGGGAUAACUACUGGAAACGGUAGCUAAUAUCGCACACCAUCAGAUGUGCCCAGAUGGGAUUAGCUAGUGGUUGGGGUAACGGCUCACCUAGGCGACGAUCCCUAGCUGGUCUGAGAGGAUGACCCGCCACAAUGGAACUGAGACACGGUCCAGACUCCUACGGGAGGCAGCAGUGGGGAAUAUUGCGCAAUGGGGGCAAGCCUGAUGCAGCCAUGCCGCGUGUGUGAAGAAGGCCUUCGGGUUGUAAAGCACUUUCAGCAGGGAGGCGUUACCUGCAGAAGAAGCACCGGCUAACUCCGUGCCAGCAGCCGCGGUAAUUC